UACUAUAUAAAAAUAAAUAAAUAAAAAGCUCUUCGUCUUCUUGCUCUUCUUUCCCGUACCCAGAAUCCAUCGACCCUACCUCAUCUCGGAAACCCUACCCCGACGACCUAUCGCCGCUACCUCUUCCCGUCGCGAGCCACGCUCUGCCAUCGUCUGCAACCACCUGUCGCGAGCUCGUCGUCUCUAGGCAUCCACCCAGCUGUAGCGGGUACGGAGUGCUGACGAAAUUCUCAAAGCUCCAAAACCGUCGUCUCUAGCCAUCCUCGAGGCACGUCGCCACAAGCCACUCCGUGCGACCGUGUUCCGUGAAAGCAUCAGCGGCGUCCGUCCAGUCCAGCGUUAGAUAUGGAUGUUGACGUGGAUCACUACAGCAUUCUUGGGCUACCAACUGGUGAGGAUGGUGCUAAGCUUACAGAGAAAGAGAUAUCAAAGGCAUAUAAAGUAAAGGCUCUGGAGUUGCACCCAGACAAGAAUCGAGAUGAUCCAAAAGCCCAUGACAAAUUCCAGAGGGUCAAGUCCUCAUAUGAGAUACUCAAGGAUGAGAAGGCCAGAAAAUUAUUUGAUGAUCUUUUGAAGGUUAAGCAAGAGCAGCAACGGCGUCAUUCUGAACGCGAUGCCAAGAGAAGAAGGAUGGUUUCUGAUCUUGAAGAAAGAGAAAGAUCUGCUUUUGCUCCUGAUCUUGCUGCAGGACAACGAGGGAAAGAGGAGAGUAUUCUCAAGGAACUUAAAGAGCAGGUUGCAAGGAUACGUGAAAUGCAUAAGAAUAAAGGAAAAACUACUGCUUCCGUAUCGAAGACCGACAUGAGAGGAGUUAGUGAAGAGACUGCCAAUACUGGUGGUGUGUUCUUGGAUAAGAAGAAAAUACUUAAGGUUUCUUGGGAAAAAUUUGGCGAGGGUUACACGGCCGAGAGGUUGAGAGAAUUGUUCUCAAAAUUUGGUGAGGUUGAAGAUGUUGUCAUGAAGAAGAAGAGAGGUUCAGCACUUGUUGUGAUGGCCAGUGAAGAUGCAGCUGUUGCUGCUACAGGCACAGUGAGCGGUGAUCUUUCUAACCCAUUGCUGGUUUUGCCUUACCAACCAGCUACCCCGGCACAAAUUCCAACUGUUCAGAAACCCGCCGAAGCGGAACGACUGAAUCAUCUAGUUGGAGCUGGCUUUCAAGCUUUUGAGAAUUCAGUUCUGGAGAAACUUCGAAAGGCUGCAGAAAAGCAGAAAAAUCAGAAGUAGGAAGGAGCAUUGUUACGGGAGGAGUUUUUAGAAGCACUCAACGACAUGAGUAUCCUGAAUUCAGAUUCGGCGUUUUCUCAGAAUCUAUACGUUACAGGUUCGUUGUGCAUGUGAUGGUGUUGGAAGUAUCAUUAAUCUGAGCAUGUUUUGGGGAAUUAAAGCGUUGUUGCAUGGAAAGUCCAAUUGGGGAUUUGAAAUAUUGGUGUCACCCAAAUGAUUUGGCGUGAUGGUUAAGCUUAAAGAGUUUCAGAAUAGCAAACACCGCAUGCUCCGCUAGUGGUGUUCUAGUCUUUGGGAUUUCUAUUGGGAUUCUCAAAAGUAAAAAAAGAAAAAUCACGUUGAUGUGUUUAUUAACCCUUAUGAACUUAUUAGCUUUGGCUUUGGCUCUCUCUCGUCUUGAAAAAAGGGUUCGUUUACUUUGGGCAUGGUUUUCUUAAUUGUUAUUUUAGGGCUAGCGUGCAAAUCUUGUACAUUAUACAUUACAAUAUAAAUUUUUGGCUUUGCCAAAAAAGUGGACAAGAAGAGAGAGAAAAUACUGAUAUUUUUCAUGUGCUCUCUUAUAUGUCAAUAAUCAUUAUAUCAGUAAUAACAAAAAGGGUGUUGAGGAUAAGGAAAAAUAAGAGAACACAAGUUUGAACUCUUUUAGAAAUUCA